rnacentral:rRNA from 1 species
CCUACGGGUGGCAGCAGUGAGGAAUAUUGGUCAAUGGGCGAGAGCCUGAACCAGCCAAGUCGCGUGAGGGAGUACUGCCCUAUGGGUUGUAAACCUCUUUUGUCGGGGAGCAAAAGCCGGACGUGUCCGGCUGUGAGAGUACCCGAAGAAAAAGCAUCGGCUAACUCCGUGCCAGCAGCCGCGGUAAUACGGAGGCUGCGAGCGUUAUCCGGAUUUAUUGGGUUUAAAGGGUGCGCAGGCGGAUUUUUAAGUCAGCGGUAAAAUCGUGGGGCUCAACCCCAUCCAGCCGUUGAAACUGGGGAUCUAGAGUGUGCGAGAGGUAUGCGGAAUGCGUGGUGUAGCGGUGAAAUGCAUAGAUAUCACGCAGAACCCCGAUUGCGAAGGCAGCAUACCGGUGCACAACUGACGCUCAGGCACGAAAGCGUGGGUAUCGAACAGGAUUAGAUACCCCUGUAGUC